CUCGCGGCCUAUCAGCUUGUUGGUGAGGUAAUGGCUCACCAAGGCGUCGACGGGUAGCCGGCCUGAGAGGGUGACCGGCCACACUGGGACUGAGACACGGCCCAGACUCCUACGGGAGGCAGCAGUGGGGAAUAUUGCACAAUGGGCGGAAGCCUGAUGCAGCAACGCCGCGUGAGGGAUGACGGCCUUCGGGUUGUAAACCUCUUUUAGCAGGGAAGAAGCGAAAGUGACGGUACCUGCAGAAAAAGCGCCGGCUAACUACGUGCCAGCAGCCGCGGUAAUACGUAGGGCGCAAGCGUUAUCCGGAAUUAUUGGGCGUAAAGAGCUCGUAGGCGGUUUGUCGCGUCUGCUGUGAAAUCCGGAGGCUCAACCUCCGGCCUGCAGUGGGUACGGGCAGACUAGAGUGCGGUAGGGGAGAUUGGAAUUCCUGGUGUAGCGGUGGAAUGCGCAGAUAUCAGGAGGAACACCGAUGGCGAAGGCAGAUCUCUGGGCCGUAACUGACGCUGAGGAGCGAAAGGGUGGGGAGCAAACAGGCUUAGAUACCCUGGUAGUCCACCCCGUAAACGUUGGGAACUAGUUGUGGGGUCCAUUCCACGGAUUCCGUGACGCAGCUAACGCA
rnacentral:rRNA from 1 species